rnacentral:pre_miRNA from 1 species
UCUUGUGGAUGAACGAAGAAAGUGGUUUCUUGAGAUGGUAUCUACUCCUGGUGAAACUGCUGUGAA